CACGUAGGGCGCAAGCGUUGUCCGGAAUUAUUGGGCGUAAAGAGCUCGUAGGCGGUCUGUUGCGUCCGCUGUGAAAACUCGGGGCUUAACCCCGAGCCUGCAGUGGAUACGGGCAGACUAGAGGUAGGUAGGGGAGAAUGGAAUUCCCGGUGUAGCGGUGAAAUGCGCAGAUAUCGGGAGGAACACCAGUGGCGAAGGCGGUUCUCUGGGCCUUACCUGACACUGAGGAGCGAAAGCGUGGGGAGCGAACAGG
rnacentral:rRNA from 1 species